GCACAUCACCAGCAUCCUGUAGGCAGGUACAAGAAAAAAACCUGUUGAGCUGUGCCUUUUCCUGCCGCUUUCACACCCUCUGUCCUGAUGUGGACUGUGCCUGCUGCCAGCCAGGCAGCAACUGAAAAGCAUCAGGGAAUCACAUUACGUUAGAUCCUUCCAGCUUCGAGUAAUUAACUCAGUGCAUUUUAUAGAACUGGGAUGAUUUUGAAGAAACUCCAAUGGAAUAUAUAGACAAUUCCCUGGCAAUCAGCAAAGCAGUAGCAGUUCAUGGAUCUCCCCUUCACAAACCUUGAAUUAGCUUUCAUCUUGCUGGCUUUUGUCAUUUUCACCUUGUUUACCCUGGCUUCUAUCUACAGUGACUCCCAUGACAACAAAGAAGGGGUCUUGAAAACUUCUUUCACUGUGAUGCAAACUAGCAGCACUUUCCUUGCAUGUGGGACAAGUUAAGAACACCCAUAUGAACAGAGGAAAACUAUGCACAGGAAGGAUACGAGAAAAGGAGCAAAUCCAAGAAGAAAAAGAAAUGUUCAAGUAUGACUGAAGUGGUAUAGAAUACUACCCAGGUCCACUGUUGGAAACACUUCUGAAAGAGGCAGCUCUGGAAGCUGGUCACCUGAAGACAGUGAGAAAACGGAUGUGAGAAAGGAAGGACCUGAUCAUCCAUCAGAUGGAAUCCAGACGUGACAAUUAGAGUUAAUGAACCACGACCCAUGAAGCUGCCUCAGCACCUUUUUACAACCCCACUUCAUGGCCUUAAUAAAAGUACCAGGGCUUAUUUUACAGAGCACAUCUGCUCUAAAUUCUCAAAGGAGAAACUGCAUUCAGAAGUUAUGUUUGGUUUCUUCACCACUUUUCAGUCAUGUAUAAAGAAUAUUUAACAGCUGUGUAUUUACUUUUCUAUCUGUUCAGUCAACAGAACAUGGGAAGAUAAUGGGUUUUUGUAUAAUAAGACUGCAUGGUUAUAAUAGUUAUUUAGCUUACAUUAACAUAAUAAGCUGCUGAGGAUGACUGAAAAGUACCAGGCAAUUUUUUUUUUAUUUUUCCAAUGUAAUGGCAUCUAUAUGCAAGUAAUGCCUUUGAUUUCAGAUAUUUAGAAAGAGUGUGCUCUAAAAAAAUCAGGUUGAUUUGCUGCUUUUCAAAUAUGCCUCACUCAGCCUUGGUACUGAAGUCUUCAAUUUCUUCAGAGAGCAGGUAUGGCUAAGCAAUACCUCUUCCUCCCCUAAGUCCAGAAGAUCUGAUGAACUCCUAAGCCUGAGGUUGAAACUGGUCUUUCUUGCCUUACAGACAAAGGAUUUCUGCAGUUAUCCAGUUUUUGGAUCCUACCCAUUUCCUUAGGUCUCGACUACCAAUUCCAUACCCACAUUGCUUCUUCUGUCCAGAAGCAAAAAGAAGCCAAGGGGAAGGACAAAGUAGCUCAUAGAUUAAUUGUUAGAAGACUCCCUUUUGCAUAGUAGGAGAUGACUGGAAGAGCUCUUGUAUAGACUUUAAGGUAUAAUAUAUACAGGGAAGAAGUAAUUUUGUUCCUCACCACAGUAACAUGAGUGAAAAUAUGACAAAAUUGACCCUGUUGUAUCACAAAGCUUCAGAUGGCAGUUGUUGAGAAGCCUAAUUAUGAGGUAUUGCUUUCAGAUUGUCAGUGUUUUUCAGGAAAGUAAAGAGAAUACCUUCUUUUGAUAUUAACCACUAACUUAAAAAUUAAUCAAUCUGCAUAUUAAUCCACGACUGAAUCAAUGCUAGAGUCAUUCGUCGGAAGGAUAGUAUAUUUUGUCAUGACAUUAUUGGUCAGCCAACUCUGAUAUGUAUACAGUGCUAGCACAAAAAUUAUUUUCCCAAAACAAAUCAAUUCCCUAUGAAAACUGAUAUCUAAAUUACCAUUGCUUUUUGGUAAUGGUAGACAAUUCCAGGAACACUUGUCCAGUUUGGCCCUUGUCAAAGCCUCCUACAGUAAAAUAUAUAAUUCUUCUCUUUUUAUAAUAAGCAGAAAAUAUCAACACGUUCAGGAGACAUUCUGCUUUGUUUGUAGGAACUCAGUGGGAGCCUGUGCCUCAUUUAGACUUUGCCACUGAGUUCCUGCAGCUUGGUUCAGAAACCUGCAAAGGCAAGAUAGUAAAUGCAGAGCAAGAGCUCGGGAAUGAUGUCUCAUGGCCAGCUGCAUUCCAAUUCCCUCAGUGAGUUAAAAAGUGAUUGGUCAUAUCCUGCUUCUGGGGAAGAAAAAGACCCUCAGCAGCCAGUACCUGUUUAACUCUGAACUGAAAGAAAACCACCAUUCAGAAGAGUCCAGUUUGGUCUCACACAUGGAAAUGUCUGUGGUGCAGGACUUCAUUGGGAGCUGUUGCCUUUCAAGGGAAGAGGCUCACAGAGCUUUGUAUUAAAUUUUUUUUUCCUAUACUUUAAAUAACAGAUUAAAUAAUAAACCACUUAAUUUUAUUCUAGCAAAGUUUUCUCAAAUAAAAUUAAAAAAAUUUUUACAUUGUUUUAAAUGGCUUGGUAAUAAAAAUCCCUGAAACUGUUACUCUUAGUGUACAUACUAUUGAUAAGACAAGUUCAGGUUUAUCUUCUUUCCUUGUUUGUUUGGUUUUUGUUUUAACCUUCCUAGAGCUCAUUAAAUGUAUUGAAAUCACAGUCAAACUAGAGAAAAAAUAAUAUGUGAAGCUUAAAAAGCAGCAAAAUUUAAAAAUUAUUGAAAUAGUGUUUGCUACAAAUACCUUCUGCCUUGCUUAAACAUCAAAUUAUUUUUGUAAAUUUGUGUUCAGAGAACAUAUACACAUAGCAAAUAAACCACCCACAGACUGAAUGAUGUUUUAAAUGCCCACUACUUUAAUAAUUUCCUUCAAGCCAAUUCUACUUCAGUAACUAAAGAACAUAUAACAGAAGAAAUAAUUGGUUUUAACUUCAAGCGUCAUAUAAAAACAUUUAAUGGAAGAUCUCUAUGUAAAAAAAGCUUUCUAUGAGAAAAUGCUCUACUAGACAUUUGUGGUUUCAUGAGCUGUUUACAAGUCAUUCUAUUCUAACACUUUUUAUUUAAAAGUAACAGGAAAUUGUAUUUCAUCAUAAACUUUGUUUCUUUGGGGUUUAUUUAAUUUAAUUAUUUUUUAAAUUAUUGUUUUGAUGACAUUUAAUAUACAAAGCAGUCAUUUUCAUUGAAAAGAAAACACUGUUCCUAAUCCAAUAUUCUUGUCCAAAAUAACUCAUGUUUAUAGGGAGACACAGCAAGGAAAAAAAAUAUUAGGUGUUGACUCAAAGAUAAGAGAGCAUUUAACUCAGAAUUGUGGCUUGGAAGAGCUAGAUCAGGCAUGAACAUUCAAUCCUUCUUGGCAGUUACAGUCCAAGUUUUUGUAUACAUUCUAACCAAAACUAAAGUGAACUUUCCAGUUUCUUAAUUAAUAGAAGAUAUACAGAACCAACAUCCCUACGUAUAUUGAAAAAUGUCAUGUGUACUAAUUAAAUUACAGUAUUAAAAAAAAAAUAAGACAUCUAUGUGUACCUUCUCAAUCUAUGUUUUCAGCAGCUUAUGUCCUACUUUCCUUGCUGAGAUGUUUUUCAACUUUGUCUUGAAGGCUCUCUUAAGACAAAAAACUAACAAUAAAUACUAGAAAGAAAUGUCUGUCCGCUUGAGGAGAUCCUCUGAACAGAUCACCAUACACUUUCUUACUUAAGAAUCUGAUUGCAAAACCGUUUAAGCUGAACUAUGUAGAAACUACUGUGAAAUAAGAAUAUCUACAAAGGAGCUGUAUUACUUUAAAAAUGUUCCAUAGUAAAUCAACUUAGCAUUCUUGUACAGGCAAAGACUGAGCCUUUCCCAGACAUGUUGGCAGAUACCACUAUACAGAGAUAAAAUCACUUCUUACAUUAGUGCCCAGUCACAACAAACCUAAUUUUAAUGAUUUGUAGGUAUAAACACUGGAACAUUGAAGGUAUCAUAGAAUCCUCACCUAAUUACUUACCUAACUGUUAGGAAACAGGAAGCAGCUAUGCACACACAGUUAAAGAGGCAGAAGGCCUUUUACUAGGAGCAUACAGUUACACACUACUCGACUAAAAUUCUGUGCUGUCUUCUGUUAUUAUGCACAAUUCAAAGAUAUUUUUCUCAUUAUGCUCUAUUACGUUCUGUAAGAGAGCAACACCUUGACCUACCACCUUGAACAGCUGUACACUUUCCUGCAGGUAAUUUCAGCCCCUCAUGAGUAUCCUCCUUCUCCUGCUGUAUUAAUACCAUUAGUUCUGUGACAUAUGGUAAAGUUUUCCAGCUGUAGAGGACCCAAGUAAAGAUCCUGGCAUGAGACAUGUCUUUCAAAUGAUGUAAAUCCAGUUUUGUUGAAAUCAGGAAGAUUUUUACAGUUGAAUUCAAUUAGGGAACAACUUAGACUUACUAGCCCGUUCCUACUCAUGUCACACGUUAGGGAAGAGAACCUGCAAUUUUGGAAGUGACUUGUUCAGCUUAAUGGCCACAUCCUCAGGACUGAAGUUAAUUAAUUUUUUAUUAAAAUUCCCAUAAGAGUGAUUUCCCCAUAAGGGAAGUAACCCUUUCCAAUACAUACCAUAGACAUGAAGUAAAUAUUUUCUUGUUCUGAGAUUUAGCGGUUAUUACUCCUUAGUUCUACUCAUGAAGUGUACUAUUUCUGCACUGACUGACAGGGAUAGUUCCUUCUGGCUGUUGUCCUCCUUAUUAAGCUUUAUUAGGUUAUUAACAGUAAGAAGCAGAAAAGAAACAGUACUGUUAGUUGAGAAAGUUAAUUUUAGAAAGCAAUGGAAAGUACCUUACCAAAAAGGUGGAUCUAAGCCAUGAGCUUUAAUGAGGUAAUAAAAAACACUAAGAAAUAAAAAGAAAAAAAAGUUGUGUGAGCAAUUAUUUUACAUGAAAUCGUGUAAAGAAUUAAUUAUACCAGAUUAUCAUUGCAACCGUAUAGAACUUUUAUAUAGUAGAUUAACAGUUGAAAUCCAUAUGAGAUUAUUAUUUAUAUGUACACCUGAAUAUAUGUUUUACUAUAAUAGAAAGUAUUUCAUAGAUCUUCCAAAAAAUCUUGCAGCUAUAGACUUCCAUUUCAUUUUGAAUGGAAAUAUUUUUAUAUUUUCAGGCAACAUGUAUAGAUUUUGAUUAUUGGUACUGAGUCAUUUAGUAAUAUUUCAUUUUUAGUUUCAUAAUUUAUUUGCACCACAGUGAAAUAUGCAACCUAGUUCAAAGCUAAUGAUACGUAAAGUAUUAACCCUGACAGCUGAAUAGGGUCUUUAUAUUCAAAAAAAGAAAGGAUGAGUAAAGAAAGAGAGGACAGAGGCACUGACAGGCAUAACCAUGAUUCUUAGGAAAACAUACUUUAAGAAGGCACAUCACAGCAUUUCUAUGCAACCAAGCUCUUACAGUCUAAGGGACAGCUACACUAGCUGCUCUACGCUAACUUUCUACAUGGGCACUUAUGCACUAAAAGAAGGGGAAAUUUUACAUCUUUAGCUUAACUCACUUUCAAAGAAGACUAAAAAUAGUGGUCUUGGUUUAAUAUAAGAUUUAAAGGUAAUACCUUUUGCAUGCUAUUUUCUUGCACCAGAUAAUUCUUAGUCAGCCAUCUCCAUCCUUUUCCAUUACAGACUACUGGUAACUGUCCUCUCUUUCACUUGGAAGUGGUUCAGAAGUCUGGCCCACAAGUACUAACAUACCCAUGUCAUACGAAUUGACACUUGACCAAGUCUCAAAUUCAUCUUAGUAUUUUCUGAAUAAUUAGCAAACAAGGAAAAUAAACAGGAAGAUCCUGUUUGGAAGCACCUCACUUUGAAGGACUGACAAAAGCCACCUCACUAUAGCCUUUGCAACCAAAUGACAUUUUCUAUGACUGGCAGAACGGAGCAGCACAUAGUAUUUAUAGGGGAUCCCUUUGAUCCCAAGAGUAUCAUUUACCUGUGUUACGGGUCAUUUAAUUAUUUGUCUUCUCAGUCAAUAUCCUUUGAUGUAACAAAUUUCAGGAUGCCAGUCUUCUGAUAUAUGGCAAAGUAAUUAAUUCCAGCAAUAAUAUCUUCAAAGAUGAUGUUGCAAUUCAACACAGAAGAAAAAAGCCACAAAAGUAGAAAAAGGUUAGACACAAAUAGUAUAUCUCUUUAAUUCAGCUAAGAACCAAACUUUGUAUGUUAGUCUGAGUGAGUUAUUUGGAAGAUUUAGAUACACCAUAUAGCCUUUUUCUUUGUUUCAUAUGAUACAUGUGAAUCUUGUAUUUAUUAAAAGGUAAUUAACAGAUGUAAA